AAAAGAUGCCUAUGAAGUCGUUGAGGAAUGACCAUGGAACCCUUAAGGCCAUGAUCGGAUCCGAUUUCAACGAGCUCACUAUCGCUGCUAAGAACCUAGCUACACACGCCUUCACACUCACUGGUUUAGGCUUUGGUACCUCUGUCCUCGAAUGGGUUGCUUCAAUCGCCGCCAUGUAACCAUUCUCUCUGUUUCUAUGUCUCUUUCCUCUAUCCGUUUCUUGUGUUGAUCUUGAUGAGGUUUUGAUGUAAUAAAUGCAGAUACUUGUUGGUGUUGGAUCGAACCAAUUGGAAGACGAAUAUGCUCACAUCACUUCUCAUUCCUUACAUCUUCUUCAGUCUUCCUUCCUUGAUCUUUGGUAUUUUCAGGUAUAACACAACAAAAGCCAGAGACUUUUUCUUUACUUAUCAUUAUGUUCCUAAACCCUAACUUGUGUCUGAAACUUUGACAGAGGAGAAAUUGGUAAAUGGAUUGCUUUCGUAGCUGUUGUUGUACAACUCUUCUUUCCUAAACACGCCAGAGGUUUGUCUACUUUUUUUCAUUCACUCUCCAUUACAAGCAACAAGACUUUGAUUCUGAUUUGGCUUAUCUCUGUUGUUUGUGUUAUUAGAAUACCUGGAAUUACCGGUGGCUUUGGUUCUUCUCGCCGUGGUGGCACCAAAUUUGAUUGCUGGCACAUUCAGAGACAGUUGGAUUGGUUUAGCUAUAUGUUUAGGUAUUGGAUGUUACUUGCUUCAAGAACACAUUAGAGCUUCAGGUGGAUUCAGAAAUGCAUUUACUAAAGCCAAUGGUAUCUCCAACACCGUCGGGAUCAUCUGUCUCGUCGUCUUCCCCGUCUGGGCUCUUAUCUUUUAAGUUAACUCUUCAGUUUCUUUUUCCAUUUGUCUUUUUUUUUUCAUGUAAGAGUGAUUGCUUUGUACGAUCUGUCUCUCCUCGUAACUCUAUCAAUGAAUGUGAUUUGAAUAAGAAUUGCUUCAGCAAUAAGAUAUCAUCAUGAGGUGUUAGUGUGGAAUAAAUCUCCUCUUUCAUCAUUAUAGCUUUAAUGGGUAACGUUGUAUCAUCUUACAAUGUGUACCACUUCUUACCGCUUUCUCGUACCACCACAAAACUUGUCCACAUUGUGUCACCAAUUGGUUUCUAUGUGGUUUUGUCAUCUUUGCUUCACCAGCUUACCAACGAAGCUCAACUUUUCUAGCUUUCUUCUUCUGCUCUUAGCUUGAGUGAUUCAGCCAUUUCUAUGGCCAACAAUGCUGAUGUUUCCUCAUCACCUACUAUUCCAUACCCGUCGAUAAAAGCUCUAUACGUCUCUUGACUCGGCUUAAAUCCUUUCCCAACCAUCUCAGCCUGAAUGUUCAAUGCUCUAUCCAUCUUCCCAUCUUCACACAACCUCUUUACCAACAACUCAUAACAAUUCCGACUAGGAUAAAACAUUGCUUCUCUCACCGCAUCCUUCACGAUAUCCGCAGCUUCAACAACUCUCUGUCCAUCCCUAUCAUCACAUAGCCCUUCAACUAACGCUUCAAUUGUUAAACCAUCUGCCUCAAAACCUUUCCUUUUCAUCUCCCUAUAAACAACCAAACCCGAAUCAACAUCCCCCGCUUUACAAUACCCGUUAACAAGAUGCUCAUACGUCAAACAAGUACACUCAAUCCCCUUCAACCCCAUAUCUCGAAAAAGCUCCUUCGCUUUCACAACUUCAAAGUUACUACAAAGCCCACCAAUCAUAGUGUUAUAAGCCACAAUAUCAUAAACCACUCCUCUCACCUUCAUCUCUUCCCAUACCUUCUCCGCUUCACUCAUCAAACCUCGCGCACAAUACGCCUCCAUCAAAACAUUAUAGCUAUAAACAUUCGGAGAACAUCCAACUUCCUCCUCCAUUUCUCUCCAUAUCCUCUCCACCAUCUCAGUCUCACCUUCUCUAUAAAAACUCACCAUCAUCGAAUUAAAAGUGGUCGCAUUUGGCUUAAUCUUACCUAUCAUCUUUUUAGCUUCAUCAACACUAACAUCAUCUAAACCAAAAACUUCUCUAUACAUCUUAUAUCCAUUAGAAGCACCUCUACGCCUAGAAACCUCUGUGAUCAAAGCAUUACAAGUACUAAUCUGUGCAUUGAUUCCUCUAGACCUUAACUUUCUCAUAACCAUCACAGCUCCAUCAAUCUCUUUCGAAUCAAGACAAGAUUUUAUCAACAAAUCGAAUACAAACGGAGCAGAGCCACAUCGAUUAUAACUCUUAAUCAACGAACGGAACACUUUCAAGACUCUGUCUUCGUCUUCGUCGGUGGCGGCGAGACGGAGAGCGAGACGUAUGAUUUCACUAGCGUGGCUUUUGAGACGAGAUCGAGAGAGGAUGUGGAUGAGAGUUGAGCAGGAGUGUGUGUCGUGAGAGCAGAGAGAGUAACGGCGAGUGAAGAGGAAGAAACGGAGAGAGAGGUGAGGAUUGUUGCGGAGGCAGAGAGUGAUUUCGGAGAAUUGAGAAGGUGUGAAGCCUGAAGGCUGGAGUGAUCGGAGAGUGGACCAACGGGAUUUGGAGCGGUGGUGUGUUAGGAUUGAGACGGCGUCGGAAAUUAGAGGAUCUGAUGGCGGAGACGGCGGAGAAGAGACGGUAGUGAGGAGAGAGAUUGAGAGGAUUGCAUCGGGUUUGGGUUUCCGGGUCGGGUCGAGUAUCCGUCUUAGUAUUGAAGUUGACAUUUUAAAAGUUUCUUUUACUUUCGAGUUGAACUCUCACAGUUUUAUACUCUGGUUUGGAGAAAAACUGGGUAAAAAAAUCUGACAAAACAGCCGAUUCCUGCAUAAACUUAGCUAACUAUGAACUGAAAGAAACAUAUACGUGGGGUUAUUGGCCCAAAGACAUAUAUAUGGUUCUCUUAUGCAACUCCCGAGUACUCUCUUUCUUUGCAUGGUUGAUACAUGAUCGGAUAGUAUCAGAAUUUUUCACAUUGUUUGGGAUUAAGAUUUUUAAGUAUUAUAUAAACGAUGUCACAAUUCUUAACUCUUGAGCUAGCUUUUGGGUUAAGUUAGGCCACAUUUCUAAUAGAUAGACAAUGUUUUUUGUUAUAAUGUUGAAGAGAGAAAAAAUCACCUCUUCUUCUCUUUUUGAUACUCAUCGUAAAUAUGGCUUUUCUUACGCAUAAAUUUUGUGGGAUUGACUUCCACACCAAUUAGAAUUAGGUUCUCUCUUCUCUACAUAACUUAACUCUUACCUCCGAUUAAACUCUUCCUCCUAAGGUAUGUCUUCCAAUCGACGAUUUACCGCAUUUGGAGGGAAAGAAACGCAAGGCGACAUGGGGAAAUAAAAUCAACUCACAACCGGCUACUCAAGCUCAUCGACAAGAACAUAGAAAUCGACUCAACUCAAUACGUGAAACAAUGGACAGAAACUACGACUACGGACGGAUGGAGUGGCUCACCCUCAGCUCCAUUCCGUAAGGCAGUCAUCAAGUUUUUUUUAUCACUUCAAGAUUCUUUCAAAAAUAUAAUUCAAAAACAGAUGCAUUCAUUGUAAAAACAUUUUUUGGUUUAAUACAAUUUUACAUUCAAUUUUUUAAAAAAUAAAAAUCUCACCUUUCUUAAAAAUAUUUUUUAAAUUUUAACUUUUUCUUUAUAGGUUUUUAAACCUUCGUAUUUUAGUAAAAGGUAAAUAUUUAAUAAACUUAGGCCAUCUACAUCGUUGAUUCUCAAAAAGAGUUUCUCAUGAAUAAAAUUUUAUUUAUUUUAAUCAAAUUCAGAUAAAGUAUUAAAUUUUAAUUAAAAAAUAAAAUCAACAAUUCCUGAAAAAACACAGAGACGAUUCUCACUUCUCUCUCCUCUUUUUCACUGCUUUAUAUUAUUUUAAUAAUAAAUAUCUCUUCUAGAUACUGCUGAUGAAGGUGCUUAUCAGAUUAGAUACCGGUUUAGCUGGUUAACUUAAAUCAAUUGUAUAGCUAUAGUAUAAAUACAUGUACAUUACACAUUAUGUGAUUGAAUGAGAAAAUCAGAUUAAUAUCCUCAACAAACUCUCUCUGAUCUUCUUCUUCGUAAUAUGGUAUCAGAGCCAACAACGCUCUCAUCUCCAUCGUUUUUUUUUCCGACUUGAUUUCUUCGUUCUGAGCUCCGAUUCGUCUUCCUCGUUGCAUUUCCUUAAGAUCCAAUGGUGACGGUAGCUCGUGUGACUCGGAAAUCGACUCGCUCGAAAGCUGGUACAAGUUCAGUGACUCGGAAGUCGCGAUCCACCGGUGCUGUUACUACUCCUCCGAAUUCUCCUCCGGUUAACAGAUCUGGAGCUUCGCGAGCCUUAACAUCAUCGGAAUCUGGAGAUCCGACUCAAUCUCCCUUUUUCCUGCAUAGUGCAGAUCAUCCAGGUUUGAACAUAAUCUCUCAUCGCCUUGAUGAAACGAAUUAUGGUGACUGGAGUGUUGCUAUGCUUAUUUCUUUGGAUGCUAAGAACAAAACUGGAUUCAUAGAUGGAACUUUAUCUCGUCCUUUAGAAUCAGAUUUGAAUUUUCGUCUAUGGUCUAGAUGUAAUAGCAUGGUGAAGUCUUGGCUAUUGAACUCUGUUUCUCCUCAGAUUUAUCGAAGCAUUCUCCGUAUGAAUGAUGCUUCUGAUAUAUGGCGUGAUCUUAAUAGUCGAUUCAAUGUGACUAAUCUUCCACGCACGUAUAAUCUUACUCAAGAGAUUCAGGACUUUCGUCAGGGAACUUUGUCUUUGUCUGAGUACUACACUCGUCUCAAGACAUUGUGGGAUCAAUUGGAUAGUACAGAGGCUUUGGAUGAGCCUUGUACUUGUGGUAAAGCGAUGCGUCUGCAACAGAAGGCGGAGCAAGCUAAGAUAGUGAAGUUUUUGGCUGGUUUGAAUGAGUCUUAUGCUAUUGUUCGCAGGCAGAUCAUAGCUAAGAAGGCUUUACCUAGCUUGGGAGAGGUGUAUCACAUUCUGGAUCAAGACAAUAGUCAACAGAGUUUCUCCAAUGUGGUUGCUCCACCUGCUGCUUUCCAAGUUUCUGAAAUAACACAAUCUCCUAGUAUGGAUCCCACAGUUUGCUAUGUUCAGAAUGGUCCUAAUAAAGGUAGGCCAAUUUGUUCUUUCUACAAUAGAGUUGGUCACAUUGCUGAGAGAUGUUACAAGAAACACGGUUUUCCUCCUGGUUUCACUCCAAAAGGUAAGGCUGGUGAGAAACUUCAGAAACCAAAACCUUUGGCUGCAAAUGUUGCUGAAUCUAGUGAAGUUAAUACUAGUUUGGAGAGUAUGGUUGGAAAUUUGAGUAAGGAACAGCUUCAGCAAUUCAUUGCUAUGUUCAGUUCUCAGCUUCAGAAUACUCCUCCGAGUACUUAUGCAACUGCAAGCACUUCUCAGUCAGAUAAUCUUGGUAUUUGUUUUUCACCAUCUACCUAUAGUUUCAUUGGAAUUUUGACUGUAGCUCGUCAUACUCUUUCUUCUGCAACAUGGGUGAUAGACUCUGGAGCUACACACCAUGUGUCUCAUGAUAGAAGUUUAUUCUCAAGCUUGGAUACUUCUGUUUUGAGUGCAGUGAAUCUGCCAACAGGACCCACUGUGAAGAUCAGUGGUGUUGGUACUUUGAAACUGAAUGAUGACAUUCUACUUAAGAAUGUGUUAUUCAUCCCGGAGUUUCGACUGAAUCUUAUAAGUAUAAGUUCUUUGACUGAUGAUAUUGGCUCCCGUGUGAUAUUUGAUAAAAAUUCUUGUGAAAUUCAGGAUCUUAUCAAGGGCCGGAUGCUUGGUCAAGGUAGACGAGUGGCGAACCUCUACUUGUUGGAUGUUGGAGAUCAGUCUAUCUCAGUGAAUGCAGUUGUGGACAUCAGCAUGUGGCAUAGGAGGCUUGGUCAUGCUUCUUUGCAAAGACUUGAUGCUAUUUCUGAUUCAUUGGGAACUACUAGGCAUAAGAAUAAGGGUUCUGACUUUUGUCAUGUAUGUCAUUUGGCAAAACAGCGAAAGUUAUCUUUUCCUACUUCGAAUAAAGUUUGUAAAGAGAUAUUUGAUCUACUACACAUUGAUGUUUGGGGUCCUUUCUCAGUUGAAACAGUUGAAGGAUAUAAGUAUUUCUUGACUAUUGUUGAUGAUCAUUCAAGAGCAACAUGGAUGUAUUUGCUUAAGACUAAAUCAGAGGUUCUUACAGUAUUUCCAGCGUUCAUUCAACAAGUGGAGAAUCAAUAUAAAGUGAAGGUUAAGGCUGUACGUUCUGAUAAUGCACCUGAGUUAAAAUUUACAAGCUUCUAUGCAGAAAAAGGGAUUGUUUCUUUUCACUCAUGUCCCGAGACUCCAGAGCAGAAUUCAGUUGUGGAAAGAAAACAUCAACACAUUUUGAACGUUGCUCGAGCUCUCAUGUUUCAGUCUCAGGUACCUCUUUCUCUGUGGGGUGAUUGUGUUCUUACUGCUGUGUUUUUGAUAAACAGGACUCCAUCACAGCUAUUGAUGAACAAGACUCCAUAUGAGAUUCUCACUGGUACAGCACCUGUUUAUGAGCAGCUUCGUACUUUUGGUUGCUUGUGUUAUAGUUCUACAUCUCCAAAACAAAGACAUAAGUUUCAGCCAAGGUCACGAGCUUGUUUGUUCUUGGGUUAUCCUUCUGGUUACAAAGGUUACAAGCUGAUGGACUUGGAGAGUAACACAGUGUUCAUCUCAAGGAAUGUUCAGUUUCACGAAGAAGUGUUUCCUCUGGCAAAGAAUCCGGGUUCAGAGAGUUCGUUGAAGUUGUUUACACCAAUGGUUCCUGUGUCCUCAGGUAUCAUAUCUGAUACUACUCAUUCUCCCUCUUCUCUUCCAUCACAAAUUUCUGAUCUACCACCACAAAUUUCUUCUCAGAGAGUUAGGAAACCUCCUGCUCAUCUGAAUGAUUAUCAUUGCAACACCAUGCAAUCUGAUCACAAAUAUCCUAUUUCUUCUACUAUCUCUUACUCUAAAAUUUCUCCAUCUCAUAUGUGUUAUAUCAAUAAUAUCACAAAAAUUCCUAUUCCCACUAAUUAUGCUGAGGCACAGGACACCAAGGAAUGGUGUGAGGCAGUUGAUGCAGAGAUUGGUGCAAUGGAGAAGACAAAUACAUGGGAGAUUACUACGUUACCUAAAGGGAAGAAAGCAGUUGGUUGUAAAUGGGUGUUUACUUUGAAGUUUUUGGCAGAUGGUAAUCUUGAGAGGUAUAAGGCACGUUUGGUUGCGAAGGGUUACACACAGAAAGAAGGCUUGGAUUACACAGAUACUUUUUCUCCGGUUGCUAAAAUGACCACUAUUAAGCUGUUGUUGAAAGUUUCAGCCUCUAAGAAGUGGUUUCUUAAGCAACUUGAUGUUUCUAAUGCUUUCUUGAAUGGUGAGUUGGAAGAAGAGAUAUUCAUGAAGAUACCUGAAGGAUAUGCAGAGAGAAAAGGAAUUGUGUUACCAUCUAAUGUUGUUCUAAGGUUGAAGAGAUCAAUUUAUGGGUUGAAACAGGCUUCAAGGCAGUGGUUCAAGAAAUUUUCAAGCUCUUUACUCAGUUUGGGUUUUAAAAAGACUCAUGGUGAUCAUACUUUGUUUCUGAAGAUGUAUGAUGGUGAGUUUGUGAUUGUUCUGGUUUAUGUGGACGAUAUUGUGAUAGCUAGCACUAGUGAAGCUGCUGCAGCACAAUUGACUGAAGAGCUGGAUCAACGUUUCAAACUGAGAGAUUUGGGUGAUUUAAAGUAUUUUUUGGGUCUUGAAGUGGCUAGGACGACUGCAGGGAUUUCAAUUUGUCAACGCAAGUAUGCUUUGGAGCUAUUACAGUCUACAGGUAUGCUUGCUUGUAAACCUGUUUCGGUCCCUAUGAUUCCAAAUUUGAAGAUGAGAAAAGAUGAUGGUGAUUUGAUAGAGGAUAUAGAGCAGUAUCGACGGAUUGUUGGUAAGCUAAUGUAUUUGACCAUAACAAGACCUGACAUUACAUUUGCUGUCAACAAGUUGUGUCAAUUCUCAUCAGCACCUCGGACUACUCAUCUCACUGCUGCUUAUAGAGUUCUGCAGUACAUCAAAGGCACGGUUGGACAGGGUCUUUUCUAUUCAGCAUCUUCUGAUCUUACUCUCAAGGGAUUUGCUGAUUCUGAUUGGGCUUCUUGUCAAGACAGUCGACGCUCUACUACAAGUUUCACAAUGUUUGUUGGUGAUUCCUUAAUAUCUUGGCGGUCUAAAAAGCAGCACACUGUUUCAAGAUCUUCUGCAGAGGCAGAAUAUAGAGCUUUAGCUCUAGCCACCUGUGAAAUGGUCUGGUUGUUUACUCUGCUUGUCUCUUUGCAGGCUUCACCACCAGUUCCUAUUCUGUACUCUGAUAGUACUGCAGCGAUCUAUAUUGCUACAAACCCGGUCUUCCAUGAGCGGACCAAGCAUAUAAAAUUGGACUGUCACACAGUUAGAGAACGCUUAGACAAUGGCGAACUCAAGUUGCUGCAUGUACGAACAGAGGAUCAGGUGGCCGAUAUACUGACUAAACCAUUGUUCCCCUAUCAAUUCGAACAUCUCAAGUCCAAGAUGAGCAUUCUCAACAUCUUCUCAUGCUCAUCUUGAGGGGGCCUAUCAGAUUAGAUACCGGUUUAGCUGGUUUAGUAUAGCUGGUUAACUUAAAUCAAUUGUAUAGCUAUAGUAUAAAUACAUGUACAUUACACAUUAUGUGAUUGAAUGAGAAAAUCAGAUUAAUAUCCUCAACAAACUCUCUUUGAUCUUCUUCUUCGUAAUAGUGCUCUUAACUUAAAUUAAAAUCAAACAAACUAUUAUAUUAAACAUAAAGAAAUCAAACAAACUAUUAUAUUAAAACUUUUUUUGAUAAAAGGUGAGCAAAUCAUAUCUUUAAGAUAAAAAAAUUAGUUGUCCGAAAAAAAAAAAAAAGAGAGAAAGAGUUUGUAAGGCUAAAUUUGUUGCCUCCAGACUCCAGGUUAUUGAGUAAGAACUACUUGGUGUGAGAUUCAUUAAUUGUAAGGUUGUGUCACAACGUACUGACUGUAUUUAAACAAAAAAAAAUGUAAUCAUAUAUAUAUCAGCUUCAUUUCCUAUAUAUACGGAAAAUCCAAUAUCAUAACGUCUUUAUCAUAGAUCAGCCCAAAUGAAAACAUAGAGAAUCGAAACCGCUUAAGGGUGUCUAUGAACCCUUAAUUAUUUAUUUGUUUGAUAACAUAGCACAUAAUGUAGAAAGGAUACAAAUAGUAGGAAUAUCACACCAGAAUAACGAGAAAAGACUCAUACAAGACUUGAAACAUAUAUAUUUUGCUUCACUCGGUAACUUGAUUAAUCAUAGACGCAUGACCAGUGAGCUUAACAACAAAAAGGAUGCACAUCAUUGACUCUUUCAGAGGCUUAUCGGUGAUGCUUAUUAUGAUAGUAUAUCCAAUCUGAGGUUGUUAAGAAAAAACAUAUCGUUAGAUCAUAAAAAAAAUUAAUCAAAUUUAGGUUUGAAAUUAAAUGCAGUAACUUAAUGGUAAAGAGAAGUUACUGCUGUUCUUUUUUCACGCGGAGUGAAUAUGUUAGGGAGAGUAAGCACAAUCGGGCCAGGUGCAACAGGGCAUGCUGUUAUAUCACAGAGGGAGUAACUUUUUGUAGAGACCGGAAACAUGCCUACCGCGAGCUUGAGAUUUACGGUUACUCCAUCAGAGAUUUCUUUGUCUGUUCAAACCAAAAUUUGUAUCAAGAUAAAAACAUAAUAAUGGAAAAGUUUACAUCAAUGUUGCGGGAAAAAGCAUUUUAGCAUUACUUACUUGUAACACCGGUUAUCGUAAUCUCUCCAUUACCGCUACGCUUAACCGGGUCUGGAGAUAUCUCCACAGAACUGACCUUUAGGGGAUACUCUUUACCAGCUACAACAAGAAGAACAAAAUGAUAUACUUUUUUUUUUUUCUUUAACUUCCACAAAUGAAAGUAAUUCUUUUUUUUGUUCUACAUGUAUAUGAAAAUAAAAUUUGAUACUUACUAUCGCAAGUUUGGAAUUUGGGGCCGCAUAAAGCAGGUGAGAAAAAGAGUGACACAAGGAGAAGAAGCAAAAGCUGGGUGUGAGAUAUCGCCAUGGAUAUCACUAGAGAAAAAUACUUUUCUUUUUAGUUUUACUAAGAAGUAUGUAGUACGUGUUAUGCUUACAUGCAUGCUUACUAUUUUAUAGGUGGUAGAUCAUAAGAUUUUGCAUUAAGGCUAAAGGUAAUACCCCUAUAUUACUUUAUAUCCCACGUUAUACGCGAUAAUCUUAAAAAUAUGGAUGUAAUGCUGUAUUAUAGGAUAUAUUUUUCUGUUUGGUAUGAUCUCGUUUGAGUACCAAGAAUCAUGUAAAUCACGUGUUAUGCUAAUAAGUUACAUGCAUACCUAUACUCUUUAUUAGUUGGUGGAUUGAUACAUAAGAUCUUCGUAAAAGUAUUUAUACGCGAGAACCUAAAGACAAGAAUUUAUAUGGAGUAUUUUUUUUUACAAGAAUUUAGAUAUAAUUUAAACCUAAAAUAUUGUAAUAAUUCAAACACUACCGACUUUUUAAAACUGUAAACGGAAAUUAAAAUAAGUUAGAUUGGGUUUAACAGUCGUUUAAGUAUUAUAUACAUUUUUAGAUAUAUAAAACCCAAAGUUUUAAGAAAAAAUAUCAAAGCAUUGGGUAUUUUCUUUGAGUUUUGAUAUUUUAGAUACCACGGUCUUGAUCCGGAAUAAGGUAUUUACCAAAAAAUGAUUGUCUAAACAAGACGUGGCUGUUUCAUUGUUGGAUGAUUAGUCUUAGUGAUUUCUAAGACUGUUUUUGUUGUUGUUCGACAACUAAAUCUAAUGAAAUUAAUCCGUCAAAUCUCUAGUGAAAUCAGUUGAAAAUAGACUGUUACUUGC
rnacentral:lncRNA from 1 species